ensembl:misc_RNA Vault Vault RNA
GGGCUGGCUUUAGCCCAGCGGUUCCUUUGAGUCUGGCUUCCCAACCGCCCGGGCCGACUGGUCCAGUGGUUCGAGAGCGGCCGGUCGCUCCUCCAGUCCUUUU